CAGUGGUUGGGCAGUGGUUAGGACGUUGGGCUACUGAUCGGAAGGUCAUGAGUUCAAGCCCCAGCACCAUCGA